CAGGAGGGGCAUUGGCGGGGUGGCUUACACAUGCAAGUCGAGCGGUAAGGCCCUUCGGGGUACACGAGCGGCGAACGGGUGAGUAACACGUGAGCAACCUGCCCCUGACUCUGGGAUAAGCGGUGGAAACGCCGUCUAAUACCGGAUACGACCCGCCACCUCAUGGUGGAGGGUGGAAAGUUUUUCGGUCAGGGAUGGGCUCGCGGCCUAUCAGCUUGUUGGUGGGGUAACGGCCUACCAAGGCGAUUACGGGUAGCCGGCCUGAGAGGGCGACCGGCCACACUGGGACUGAGACACGGCCCAGACUCCUGCGGGAGGCAGCAGUGGGGAAUAUUGCGCAAUGGGCGAAAGCCUGACGCAGCGACGCCGCGUGGGGGAUGACGGCCUUCGGGUUGUAAACCUCUUUUACCACCAACGCAGGCUCGAAGUUCUCUUCGGGUUGACGGUAGGUGGGGAAUAAGGACCGGCUAACUACGUGCCAGCAGCCGCGGUAAUACUUAGGGUCCGAGCGUUGUCCGGAAUUAUUGGGCGUAAACAGCUCGUAGGCGGCGUGUCGCGUCUGCUGUGAAAGACCGGGGCUUAACUCCGGUUCUGCGGUGGAUACGGGCAUGCUAGAGGUAGGUAGGGGAGACUGGAAUUCCUGGUGUAGCGGUGAAAUGCGCAGAUAUCAGGAGGAACACCGGUGGCGAAGGCGGGUCUCUGGGCCUUACCUGACGCUGAGGAGCGAAAGCAUGGGGAGCGAACAGGAUUAGAUACCCUGGUAGUCCAUGCCGUAAACGUUGGGCGCUAGGUGUGGGGACUUUCCACGGUUUCCGCGCCGUAGCUAACGCAUUAAGCGCCCCGCCUGGGGAGUACGGCCGCAAGGCUAAAACUCAAAGGAAUUGACGGGGGCCCGCACAAGCGGCGGAGCAUGUUGCUUAAUUCGACGCAACGCGAAGAACCUUACCAAG
rnacentral:rRNA from 1 species